rnacentral:rRNA from 1 species
CACGUGAGAAUUUACCUUUAGGAGGGGGAUAACAAUUGGAAACGAAUGCUAAUACCCCAUAUGCUUUCGAGUGAAAUGGAUUUAUAUUUAUUCGCCUAGAGAGAAGCUCGCGGCUGAUUAGCUUGUUGGUAAGGUAAGAGCUUACCAAGGCGACGAUGCGUAGCCGACCUGAGAGGGUGAUCGGCCACACUGGGACUGAGACACGGCCCAGACUCCUACGGGAGGCAGCAGUAGGGAAUCAUCCGCAAUGGGCGAAAGCCUGACGGUGCAACGCCGCGUGAGUGAUGAAGGUUUUCGGAU